UUCCUUUAAAAAAAAGUGUAAAGAAAACUUAGCCAGAUUUUAAAAAAGUCUGCGGAACUAAAACACCGCAUGCAUCAUAAUUAUCUCCAAGGAGGCUCUUUAAGCCUCCAUCCCAGAGAGCCCUGGGGCUGGGCAGACACAGGGGGUGUGGGGAAGACACUCCCUGGCUGUCAGUAAGCUGUGAUUAAGUCAGAUGAAAGAGGAAUGCCGCCCACGUUGGAUUUCGGAUUCUGGAAUUCUGUGCCGCUGUGGGGUGCUUGAUACAAGGGAGUCCAGGAAUUGUGCGAUGAUUGCAUACCUUUGAGGUAGCUUGGGAUUCGGGCAUUCACUGCAUGCAAUUUGAGAAUGAAAUGCUGGUGAUGCUAAGUGAGAAGAGCACUUGCUUGGCCUGACCACGGGUGGCAGCUCAAGUUUCUGCAGUAGAAGAGAAGGCGGCUGAUGCAUCCUGCAUAAUGUACCUGAGCGAGUUUACUGAUGAUACCCAGAUGAGCAGCUGGAAUCAUGGAAGAAAUGCGGCCAUCACUUCAAAAGCACUCCAGGUAGAAGAGGCAAUUGUAGGAGAAAUCCUAUUACAAAAACAUAUGGAACAGCUGCAAAUGUAACGUUUUGCUUUAUUCCUUGGAACAAAACCACAAGAAAGUUCAAAAAAUAACACGCACUUCUAAAGCUACCACUUAAAAUCAAGAAAUGCCAAUACUUUAUACUUUGUCAAUUGAUCAAUAAAAAUUAGACAUUUUUGAGG